UCUAGGAUGAAAAGAGAGUUACCUUGAGAAGUUUUACAUAUUAGUCCAUAAGGGAUGACCAAAGAAGUCAAACGAAGAAGCAAAUGAAUAAGGCAGAGAGACCAAAAAGACUCGGUUAUUUGUCCUCAAAACAUCUCACAUAAGAACCAUUGAAGCUUUUCUCUCUAUCUAUCAAAAUGAGAGGAAGGGUCAUUUUGAGGAUUUUUAAAGGGACAGAGACUUUGUAUUCUUCACGCCCGAGGUCAUGUUAGA